GCAAUCGAUUUGAAGUAGAACAGGGGAAUGUCGCGGCACAAGAAACGUCUUUUACAGGCCUAAACUCAUGUAAGUGACCCUCCAGUUUUUGCGAAAUUAACGGGGAAUGAGAAUAAUAUUCGUAUUUUGAAGAAGCUUUAAGACCUUUUUAGUCGAAAAAUUGCUCGUCUGGUCCGACCAGUUUAGUUUAAUUGGCAUAAUAAGUCGAUGGGCUCAGAAUAAAAACGGCCCUCGCUCCUCCGAACCUUAUCAAAACGUGAUGAGAGCCUGCUGGUGUACUACCAUCGUCGCGCUUCUGCUGGCCGCUGCGGCCGCGGCAGCACGGCCCAACGCUGACUCCAUCAUGAAGCAACGCACAGUGCCCAACGACGUCCAUCUUCCAAAUGGAUACGUCCGCUUAAUGAUUUCAGGUAUUGGCCCUGAGGGUCUACACGCGUCACCCCCGUACUAUGUUUCCUAUACACCGCAGAAACACAUCAAAUAUGUUGUGUCGCUACCGUCUCCACAUGCUGCGGUGCAAAAACGACCAGCUAUAUUUUCCUCUGCAGAAUCGCUAACAGCCAAGCAGAAAGUAAAAAAGCAACGAAGAAGCAGACGUGGACUGGUGCGGAGGAGGAGUAUGCAUUACAGACAUUAACACAGCGACCAAGACUGCACUGAUGCUUUGAUUAGAGAGCCUCAAAAGUGCAUUUAAAAAUUUUGACUCAUUGAAGUAAAGUACAUAUUUAAAUUAUGUUAGAUUUCAUUUUCCUCUUGCAACCGUGUUUUGACUGUUAUGAUAGAUUCAUAAGUUUUCUCUGACUGCUUCUGUACAGAAAUGUGUUUUAGAGCAAACAACAAAAAUAAAAAUAUGAAACUUUAUUCCCAGAAA